UCGGUGGCGAAGCGGUAACGCAUCGGUCUGCAAAACCGAUAUACACGGGUUCGAUUCCCGUCCGG
rnacentral:tRNA from 1 species